rnacentral:piRNA from 1 species
UCUGUAAGGCAGUUCUGACCACAAAGGGA